UGGGGAGUAAUGUAAGAGUGCUAUCUGUG
rnacentral:piRNA from 1 species